UAUAUUCAGAAUUCAUAGCCAAUCCAUUUAAUGCUCUAUCUGAUUUCUGGUUCUUCUGAUACACUCUUACACAAUUCAUCUAAAAUUCAGGGCUCUUACAUAUUCUGGCAACACAAUUUAUAUAAAAACUGAUUUCUCAGGAAAAAAAGGGAAAAUUAUGUUAUUUGCAUUGAAUGAACAAAUGAUUAGCAUAAUAGCAAA
rnacentral:lncRNA from 1 species